rnacentral:tRNA from 1 species
GGAGAGGUGGCCGAGAGGUCGAAGGCAGCGGUUUGCUAAACCGUAGUCCGGGCGAAACCUGGACCGCGGGUUCGAAUCCCGCCCUCUCCG